rnacentral:rRNA from 1 species
UACGAAGGGGGCUAGCGUUGCUCGGAAUCACUGGGCGUAAAGCGCACGUAGGCGACUUUCUAAGUCAGGGGUGAAAUCCUGGAGCUCAACUCCAGAACUGCCUUUGAUACUGGGAAGCUCGAGUCCGGAAGAGGUGAGUGGAACUCCGAGUGUAGAGGUGAAAUUCGUAGAUAUUCGGAAGAACACCAGUGGCGAAGGCGGCUCGCUGGUCCGGUACUGACGCUGAGGUGCGAAAGCGUGGGGAGCAAACAGG